CGCAGCCCUCUCGCGGGCAGGGUUCGAAACCCAGCGGCUCCAAAUAUCACGCGCGGCCUCUUUCCCUCCCGCGCGCCUUCCGCGAACUCGGGCUGCGCUCGCCUCCCGCCGGCCGAACCCGCCCUGCGCUGCCGCCCCUAGGGCUGCGCUCGCCGCCCGCCGGCCGAACCCACCCUGCGCCACCGGCCCGUCCUGCGGGCUCCGGCCGCCGCCAUCGGGAUGCAGGGUCCGCGUGCGCCUCGGCUCCCGCGAACGCGCCCUGUGCCGUCGCCGCGCCCUGCAGGCUCCGACGCGCCUCACCUCCCGCGAACGCGCCCUGCACCGCGGCCCCGCCCUGCGGGCUUCGGCCGCCGCCGCCGCCGGGACGCGCGCAGGGGGUGCGGGCGCCGGCCACUGCCGUCGGGACGUGCGCCGGCUGCGGGCACGACCUCCGCCGCCGUCAUGCCAGCCAUCUUUUUUGGGAUUUUCGGAAGUAUUUUCGGGGAUUUUUCAUUCUUCACGUUGGAGGCCAAAUCCCGCGAGAUUUGUUUGAGGAAAUUGUUGCUAGGACAUUUGUGGGCAGCUUUGGCUUGAUCCUCUCUCAAAUCUGUCACGGAUUCGGCUUGGAUUUGGAGUUUUUCCCCAAAACCGAGUUCUUCGUAGGGUUUCGGUUGACUCCAAAAUUUGUGAUGGAUGCUUGAGCUUUUCGUCAGAUUCUUCGUGGAUCUAUUUUUCCUUGGGGCAGUGAAUCUAUGGCUCAAGUUUUGCUUCGAUUCGUUGUGAUUUGGGAAAGCAAUUUUGAUUCGAAGCUUUGCUAGCUCUCAUGUUCUUCCCCAUGGACAGGGAGAGCCUCACAGAGGCCACGUCGGGGGCAAUCGGCGCGCUCGUCAGCACCAUCGUGCUCUACCCGCUCGACACUUGCAUCUGAGCAUAGUCAUUAUUUAGUUGUCGUGAAUGGGCCUGCAUAACUGUUGCUGUAUGUGUGGCUGAGCACACAUAACCCUGUGCUGUUUACUUUUGGGCCUGCAUAAUUGUUUGGAAACAUUUGUUUUAGACUCCGGACAAAUUGGAAUGUAUGAGGUGUGGAAGUUCGUGCUGCUGGGGCCUUCAAGAGGACCUAUAGAUUUGUCAUUUCCAGGUUUUAGAAGAGAUUAUUUCAGAACUAAAUAAAAAGAGACGUACAUAUCUCCAGAUGGGCCUGCAUAACAUAUCUUUGAUCCGCAGAGAAAAGGACAGAAACAUUAGGUAAUCCAUGGCCCCCUGGAUCGAUGUGGACUUUAAGCUGAAAGCUGCUUACUUCAAAAGAUAUCACUGGAGUCUGGACCAUGCCUUCCUGCUUUAGAUUUCUGUGUUCUUUACUUAAACCUUCCCUGAAAUUCUUCUGUUGCAGGUAUCUCAUUUUUGCAUGCCUCUGCAACCAAUUGCUUCAAUAUUAUGUGUGUAAUACAGCUCUUUGAAAUGUUAAGUAGACUGUUUUAGCUUGCCAGGUUGCAAUCUGUAUUGCCUUAAUAAAUUUUUUUUGGCUUCUUGCCAUCUUUUCUCCAACUUUUUUUUUAACAAUUUCAUCGUGCUUCAGGAACAUCAUAUUCAAACAAACCAUGGAUCUGUAUUGGUUGCAAUAUAUGGUGACCAUGAUAAGCCUGCUGUUAUUACUUAUCCAGAUAUUGCCUUGAACCGUAAGUUUUAUAUUCAUACUUUGUUGUUAUAUAUAAGAAUUAUGCAGCACUAUGACUGAAGUCAACUAUAGAUAUGUCUUGCCAAAUGUUACAUAUCCUUAGAAAAAUGGACUUUACCCUCAACAUAAUAACUAUGUUACAUA